rnacentral:rRNA from 1 species
UAACCUGCCUCAAGGCUGGGGAUAACAUUUGGAAACAGAUGCUAAUACCGAAUAAAACUUAGUAUCGCAUGAUAUCAAGUUAAAAGGCGCUACGGCGUCACCUAGAGAUGGAUCCGCGGUGCAUUAGUUAGUUGGUGGGGUAAAGGCUUACCAAGACAAUGAUGCAUAGCCGAGUUGAGAGACUGAUCGGCCACAUUGGGACUGAGACACGGCCCAAACUCCUACGGGAGGCUGCAGUAGGGAAUCUUCCACAAUGGGCGCAAGCCUGAUGGAGCAACGCCGCGUGUGUGAUGAAGGCUUUCGGGUCGUAAAGCACUGUUGUAUGGGAAGAAAUGCUAAAAUAGGGAAUGAUUUUAGUUUGACGGUACCAUACCAGAAAGGGACGGCUAAAUACGUGCCAGCAGCCGCGGUAAUACGUAUGUCCCGAGCGUUAUCCGGAUUUAUUGGGCGUAAAGCGAGCGCAGACGGUUGAUUAAGUCUGAUGUGAAAGCCCGGAGCUCAACUCCGGAAUGGCAUUGGAAACUGGUUAACUUGAGUGUUGUAGAGGUAAGUGGAACUCCAUGUGUAGCGGUGGAAUGCGUAGAUAUAUGGAAGAACACCAGUGGCGAAGGCGGCUUACUGGACAACAACUGACGUUGAGGCUCGAAAGUGUGGGUAGCAAACAGGAUUAGAUACCCUGGUAGUCCACACCGUAAACGAUGAAUACUAGGUGUUAGGAGGUUUCCGCCUCUUAGUGCCGAAGCUAACGCAUUAAGUAUUCCGCCUGGGGAGUACGACCGCAAGGUUGAAACUCAAAGGAAUUGACGGGGACCCGCACAAGCGGUGGAGCAUGUGGUUUAAUUCGAAGCAACGCGAAGAACCUUACCAGGUCUUGACAUCCUUUGAAGCUUUUAGAGAUAGAAGUGUUCUCUUCGGAGACAAAGUGACAGGUGGUGCAUGGUCGUCGUCAGCUCGUGUCGUGAGAUGUUGGGUUAAGUCCCGCAACGAGCGCAACCCUUAUUGUUAGUUGCCAGCAUUCAGUUGGGCACUCUAGCGAGACUGCCGGUGACAAACCGGAGGAAGGCGGGGACGACGUCAGAUCAUCAUGCCCCUUAUGACCUGGGCUACACACGUGCUACAAUGGCGUAUACAACGAGUUGCCAACCUGCGAAGGUGAGCUAAUCUCUUAAAGUACGUCUCAGUUCGGACUGCAGUCUGCAACUCGACUGCACGAAGUCGGAAUCGCUAGUAAUCGCGGAUCAGCACGCCGCGGUGAAUACGUUCCCGGGUCUUGUACACACCGCCCGUCACACCAUGGGAGUUUGUAAUGCCCAAAGCCGGUGGCCUAA